UUUAUCCCUACUUGGAAAAAAAAGACCAGAAAACUAUUAAUUGGGAGCGCAUCUUCUCUUCGCAGGGGAGGAGAGAUCAAUGGAGGAGCAAGGUGGAGACGAUGAUCGAAGGAGAGAGGCCGCGUUGGCUUCAACUCCACUCUUUCAACCCAACUUCAAAUCCUCCAAGGUCACCCAAGCCCAGCUCGAUAAAUUCAGGGAGCUGCAUAAGAGACGCUUACAAAUAAAACAAAUAUCAAAGGAUAAAGAGAUGUUAAAAGGAAUUGCAAGAAGACCUGGAAAGGUAAAGAAGGAGGAUCUUGUCUGCAAGGACACUAAAGGAAUAUGCGAAUCUGACAUUAAAGAAGAUUCAAAUUUCUGCAUUUCAGAGAGAAAGGACUCUUCAGAUGAAACAAUGCCUGCUUUUGCAUCAAAGAAGAGACAAAAGUUGCACUGGGGGCUUGAUCCAAAGGAAAGAUGGGAAAGGAAAGCCAACAUGUAGAUUAUCGACAAUUGGUAUGCUAACUCUACUGAUGUUGUUCAGGAAGGAUAGUCUCAUCAAACUAGGUAAUGGUAGACUUAGCUCAUAACUCUACCGAUGUUGUUCAGGAAGGAUAGUCUCAUCAAACUAGGUAAUGGUAGACGUAGCUCAUAACUGAACUUGAUUGGGGAGUUGAUGUAUCUGACCAGCGAGCUUUGUUUAGUAUAUGUAUUUUCAGACCUUCAAGGUAUUGGAUAUCAGCAGCUCAUAUAACUAGCAUGCAUAUAGACGAUGGAUAUGUAAAUUCGUAAUUAGGCAUGAUGCCUUCUCAGAAGUCAUUACAUGUGCAGUUGCAUAAGUGAUUUUAUGACUGAAAUCAUGAGCUUGCAUUUUUCCGCUCCCUUCAAUAUGUAAUAACCAUCUUACUUGAGCUAGGAUUUGAUCCCUCUAUAUUAGCCCAAAUGUGUAUAUUCAAGGUGUGGAAUUCUCAUGUGUUACUUAGGUCUUCAUACUACCAAGUUGAGAUGGGAACAUUAUAAAUGACAAUUUCGAGUAAUGUUCAACUAGCCAGGGGAAAGUUUACCCUUAGGCCUCUAAUUGUAUUUUGAGCCUUGUAUCAAAGAAUACGGACCUGGUAACGAGAAACUUGAAUAUGACACAAAGGAACGACAAAGGAACAUA